rnacentral:rRNA from 1 species
AUUGAACGCUGGCGGCAGGCCUAACACAUGCAAGUCGAGCGAGUGGCGGACGGGUGAGUAAUGUCUGGGAAACUGCCUGAUGGAGGGGUAUAACUACUGGAAACUGUAGCUAAUACCGCAUACCAUCAUCUGUGCCCAGAUGGGAUUCGCGAGUAGGUUGGGUAAUGGCUCACCUAGGCGACGAUCCCUAGCGGGUCUGAGAGGAUGACCAGCCACACUGGAACUGAGACACGGUCCAGACUCCUACGGGAGGCAGCAGUGGGGAAUAUUGCACAAUGGGCGCAAGCCUGAUGCAGCCAUGCCGCGUGUAUGAAGAAGGCCUUCGGGUUGUAAAGCACUUUCAGCGAGGAGGCGUUACUCGCAGAAGAAGCACCGGCUAACUCCGUGCCAGCAGCCGCGGUAAUAC